rnacentral:lncRNA from 1 species
GUUAAAAAUCACAGUGUGUUCAGAGCCAGCUCUGCAGGGGAGGUGUGCAAGGUAUAUCAGAAUUCUCUCAAGAUCUUAGGACACAUGGUGGACACUCAAUCUUUGCUAAAGUACAUACACAGCCAAGUCUGUAUUUUGUGCAUUUUUAAACAUAGUUUUACAUUUAUAUGGUCCUCAAAUGAAAUUUAGGUUUAAAUAAAGGAUAAGAGGUAUACAUACUUAAGCAGUCUCAGCAGAUGUAUGGUCCAUCAUUAUUAGCAUGGCUGCCUCAGUGGAUGUAUGGUCCCAUCAUUGUUAGCAUGGCUGCUUGGCUCCAUUCCGUCCUGUAGGAUUUUCUGAGAAGUUGUCAGGACUGUUUUUUUGGGGGAAAGGCAGCAUCAGGAGGUCGCUGGUAUAUAAAUGACCUAUAUACUUUGUUUGAGAUCUGUCUCUACCCCUGUGUCAGCUCUCUUGCCUACUCUCAUUGUUCAGAGUGUCUGUCUCUUCUUCAACAAACUGCCUCCAUUUCUACUACAGUCCAUAUGUCCCUGGACCAAUUCUUUGUUCUGGGACACAAGAAUCUGGAAAUCUCAGUGGGUGCUCACCAGACUCUGACCAUAUCUGUAACUCUUGGAGAUGAGCUCCCCUAUAGACUGAUCCAGGCUCCUGGCCCUUUGCUUCUCCCAGCAUGAGAGUCCUGGGGAAAUUCUAACCCCUUGAGAAUCCACUACCUCAGUAGUCUGAUAGCCAAAGUCCGAUAGUGCCACACCCACUCCAGUAGUGACUCCCGUGACAGGCCCAAAAGCUUGGACGCGGUCCCAAGGCGAAAAGUUCACGGAAACUUAAGUCUCCUGGAACCGUAGCAUCCUGUAAAACGAAUGCUCCAAAUCUGUCCUUGCUUUAGUGAAAGGACGAAAGAGUCCAGUCCGUAGCACGAUAGCACAAGUUAUCUUCGGGGUAUCUUUAUUCACUCCCUGCCCUCUGUACACGCUGGAAGCUCUUUCCCCUGAAGAGACAAACAGCAUGUUCUAUCUGGGCUCUGGACCAUGAUCUACCACCUACUCCUCUCUGAGGCCUGUUGCUUCACUUAAUAUUAAUUUCUGUUGUAUCUUUUAAUGAUAUCCAGUCUCCACAGCAGGUGGAUGGAGAUCAGAGGAAAAUGUGUGGGCAUUGUUUCUCUCCUCCCACCUUGUUGGUCCCAGGGAUUGAAACUGAACUCCUGUUGUCAGGGUUGGUGGCAAGUGCCUCUCCCUGCGGAACCGUCUAAGCCUCUUACAAUCUUAACUAUACCAACCCUCAUUGCGUGUUCAUGAUUUCUAUGUCAGGCAACAUGCGCAGAGCACAAAAACAUGCUUAAAGGUAUAAGGAGUUUAAUCUCCAUGGGUGAUAGAAGAACAGGGAAACGAUCAACUCAGAAACUAGCAAGGACAGGAAGCUGCUUGUCUCCUAGGAAAGAUAAAAGAAGAGGUGGGGCUGCCAUAGCCAAUUGCUCUCCAACAUGUGGGAAUGAGGCCCUGGUCUAGGUGCAGUGAAGUCUGGGAGGAGAUAAGGAUGUGGGCGGGUACCCUAAAGCACAAAGGGAAUAUUUCCUGCUAUCUGCAUCCUCCCAUCCUAGCAGCCACUGAGGAGGACCAGGGAGAAGCAACCUCCUUGGCUUGAUGACAACAAGAGGCAGAACCCCAUGCAAUAGUCAGGGAUUGAGCCCAGGGUCUUCUGCAUGUUAGGCAAGUGCUCUGCCACUCAGCUGCCCUCAGAUUUCUCCUUUACACACUGGAGCUACGACAAGCCUCAGCCUGGAUGCUCAAAGGGAUCUAGAGCUAACUAUGUUCCCCACCAAACCUGCUGCUUCCUCUUUAAUGAUUGCUUAAACAGUCUGAUGAGCUCAAGUCAGACUACUAUCCUUGGUUCACUUUUUCUUGUGUUGAUGAUCAGGUUUAUUGCUCAAGAAAGCAAUCAAGAGUCUCUUUGGAGCGUCAGUUCAAGCUCUCACUAUUGUCGCCUGGGGGAAGGCUGCUUUCCUGAUUCUAAGGCCCUGUCUUCCUUGUCUAACUUGCACACAGCUGUCAGAAGGACCAUCUAAGUCUUAUGUUGAACCACAGACCUUACCUGCUCAAAAUUCUAGAGUUCUUUCCACAAAAUUCAAAAGCCUCCUGGGACAAGUGGCUUCUGAAUCCCUAUGGCUGCUGUGUGACAAGAAGCCAAGGUGGCAGCAACAACUGUCACUAGGGAGUAGUUGGAGCUGGCUACUGAAGCUAUGAGAAUAAUGGGGCUCAUAUGCAGAAGCUGGGGGGACAUGCACCUGAUUUCAGACAACUAAGAAUCAUUUGUU